AGUUGCAGCUGUGACAUUGCGCCGAGGCUCUGAAGUGGGUAAUUGCAGACCAAAGCUAGGCUAGAAUGCUGUGUUUGGGGUGGUCAUUAGAGUCGUGGUCUCUUUAGCGUUAUGAAGCCUACCUUGACUCCUAGAUGUUCAUUGUGAAUCUUGUUGGUGCUGGUAUCACUGUACCUCUCAAAUAGCUUCCCCAUUUUGACUAAGAAUGAAGAGCUUCUUGGAUAAAGAACUUGUAAAAAUCAGCCUUCUGCCCCAGCGUCUUCUCCAAAGAUACAGGAGCUUGCUGGACCCACUUGCAAGGGAAGCCUGGAAGUUGGGGAGUUAAUGUCUUCACGGCACUCUCAACCAGUGAGGCAUGAGAAUUUUUGAACACUAUUUGGACAGUCUAUAUACCGGAAGACCAUCGGUCACAGAGCAACAAGCCAUGGGCAG